GACGAACGCUGGCGGCGUGCUUAACACAUGCAAGUCGAACGGAAAGGCCCUGCUUUUGUGGGGUGCUCGAGUGGCGAACGGGUGAGUAACACGUGAGUAACCUGCCCUUGACUUUGGGAUAACUUCAGGAAACUGGGGCUAAUACCGGAUAGGAGCUCCUGCUGCAUGGUGGGGGUUGGAAAGUUUCGGCGGUUGGGGAUGGACUCGCGGCUUAUCAGCUUGUUGGUGGGGUAGUGGCUUACCAAGGCUUUGACGGGUAGCCGGCCUGAGAGGGUGACCGGCCACAUUGGGACUGAGAUACGGCCCAGACUCCUACGGGAGGCAGCAGUGGGGAAUAUUGCACAAUGGGGGAAACCCUGAUGCAGCGACGCCGCGUGGAGGAAGAAGGUCUUCGGAUUGUAAACUCCUGUUGUUGAGGAAGAUAAUGACGGUACUCAACAAGGAAGUGACGGCUAACUACGUG
rnacentral:rRNA from 1 species